UAUAAAACGUUAUAUAUUUUAAAAAGAAUAUAGUUAUAAAAAAAUAUAAAAAUAGUUUUAGCUUAACGAAAGUGAAACUUGUCUGUGUAAUUGGAGUCUUACUUUUAUUUACAAUUCGUGCAAUAAUUUUAGUUUGACGAAACUACAUUCUACGUAAUCUACAUCUGCGCAAUUCUGGGCUUGCUUUUAUUCAUAACUCGUGCAGUCAAAGAUGCAGACAGAGUUUAUUGAUCAUUGCGAGGAAUAAUUAAGAGGAUUGUACAUCUUAGGAACGUGUCACAGUCGGGUUUGAAAGUGUCAACUACACUGGACGCAAUUAUACAAAAAUGAGGAAUCUACAUUUCUUGGGAAACCGCCUCAGAGCUGUAAUUGUAACUGAAGUAGGCUCUUGCUAUAUCGCCACGGACAGGGAUGUAGGACGUAUACGACAGUGGUGUGAAAAAGUAUUUGGAUCUUUUUUGUAGUAUAACGAAUAAAGAAAUAAAUAGUAUUGA